UACAGAGGGUGCAAACGUUGCUCAGAAUCACUGGGCGUAAAGGGCGUGUAGGCGAGAAUGUAAGUCGGGCGUGAAAUCCCUAGGCUCAACCUAGGAACUGCACUCGAAACUGCGUUUCUUGAGUAUCGGAGAGGAAAGCGGAAUACCUAGUGUAGAGGUGAAAUUCGUAGAUAUCAGAUGGAACACCAGUGGCGAAGGCGGCUUUCUAGACGAUAACUGACACUGAGACACGAAAGCGUGGGGAGCAAACAGG
rnacentral:rRNA from 1 species